rnacentral:rRNA from 1 species
UGGGGAAUAUUGCACAAUGGGCGCAAGCCUGAUGCAGCCAUGCCGCGUGUAUGAAGAAGGCCUUCGGGUUGUAAAGUACUUUCAGCGGGGAGGAAGGGAGUAAAGUUAAUACCUUUGCUCAUUGACGUUACCCGCAGAAGAAGCACCGGCUAACUCCGUGCCAGCAGCCGCGGUAAUACGGAGGGUGCAAGCGUUAAUCGGAAUUACUGGGCGUAAAGCGCACGCAGGCGGUUUGUUAAGUCAGAUGUGAAAUCCCCGGGCUCAACCUGGGAAUUGCAUCUGAUACUGGCAAGCUUGAGUCUCGUAGAGGGGGGUAGAAUUCCAGGUGUAGCGGUGAAAUGCGUAGAGAUCUGGAGGAAUACCGGUGGCGAAGGCGGCCCCCUGGACGAAGACUGACGCUCAGGUGCGAAAGCGUGGGGAGCAAACAGG